rnacentral:rRNA from 1 species
UGGGGAAUAUUGCACAAUGGGCGCAAGCCUGAUGCAGCAACGCCGCGUGAGGGAAGACGGUUUUCGGAUUGUAAACCUCUGUCUUUGGUGACGAAGAAGUGACGGUAACCAAGGAGGAAGCCACGGCUAACUACGUGCCAGCAGCCGCGGUAAUACGUAGGUGACAAGCGUUAUCCGGAAUUACUGGGUGUAAAGGGAGCGCAGGCGGGAUAGCAAGUCAGCGGUGAAAUGCAUGGGCUUAACCCAUGAGCUGCCGUUGAAACUGUUAUUCUUGAGUGGAGUAGAGGCAGGCGGAAUUCCGAGUGUAGCGGUGAAAUGCGUAGAUAUUAGGAGGAACAUCGGUGGCGAAGGCGGCUUUCUGGACUGACACUGACGCUGAGGCUCGAAAGCGUGGGGAGCAAAC